AUGUUCAUGGAAAGGAAAGAUGAUUGGCAUAUCCCCUGGCAAGGGGUUGGAACAACCUUGGGCUUUAUUGUUAAAACAAAAGGUUCAAGCUUCCUGCUUUGUUUGGAACUUACGCAAUUUCUUGU